GGGGAUUUGGCUCAGUGGUAGAGCGCUUACCUAGGAAGCGCAAGGUCCUGGGUUCGGUCCCCAGCCUCCCCC
rfam:Rattus norvegicus chromosome 4, whole genome shotgun sequence.